rnacentral:rRNA from 1 species
GCUUAMACAUGGASUSNCGCGAGAAAGGGGAUUCGGUCCUGAGUAGAGCGGCGCACGGSUGAGUAACGCGUGGAUUAUCUACCCAGACGUUCGGGAUAACGGCGGGAAACUGCCGCUAAUACCGGMAUACGCUCCAAUUUCGGUUGGGGGAAAGGCGGCCUCUGCUUGCAAGCUGUCGCAUCUGGAUGAGUCCGCGUCCCAUUAGCUUGUUGGUGGKGUAAUGGCCUACCAAGGCUACGAUGGGUAGCUGGUCUGAGAGGAUGAUCAGCCACACUGGAACUGAGAUACGGCCCAGACUCCUACGGGAGGCAGCAGUGGGGAAUAUUGCGCAAUGGGCGAAAGCCUGACGCAGCAACGCCGCGUGCGGGAUGACGGCCUUCGGGUUGUAAACCGCUUUCAGCAGGGACGAAGGGUUUCUGACGGUACCUGCAGAAGAAGCACCGGCUAACUACGUGCCAGCAGCCGCGGUGAUACGUAGGGUGCGAGCGUUGUCCGGAAUUAUUGGGCGUAAAGAGCUGGUAGGCGGUCCGUUGCGUCGGAAGUGAAAACUCGGGGCUUAACCCCGAGCCUGCUUUCGAUACGGGCGGACUUGAGGGAUGUAGGGGAGAACGGAAUUCCUGGUGGAGCGGUGGAAUGCGCAGAUAUCAGGAGGAACACCAGUGGCGAAGGCGGUUCUCUGGACAUUUCCUGACGCUGAGAAGCGAAAGCGUGGGGAGCAAACAGGCUUAGAUACCCUGGUAGUCCACGCCGUAAACGGUGGGCACUAGGUGUGGGACCCAUUCCACGGGUUCCGUGCCGUAGCUAACGCAUUAAGUGCCCCGCCUGGGGAGUACGGCCGCAAGGCUAAAACUCAAAGGAAUUGACGGGGCCCCGCACAAGCGGCGGAGCAUGCGGAUUAAUUCGAUGCAACGCGAAGAACCUUACCUGGGUUUGACAUAUAUCGGAAACGUUCAGAGAUGGGCGCCCCGUAAGGUCGGUAUACAGGUGGUGCAUGGCUGUCGUCAGCUCGUGUCGUGAGAUGUUGGGUUAAGUCCCGCAACGAGCGCAACCCUCGUCCAAUGUUGCCAGCGGGUUAUGCCGGGGACUCAUUGGAGACCGCCGGGGUCAACUCGGAGGAAGGUGGGGAUGACGUCAAGUCAUCAUGCCCCUUAUGUCCAGGGCUUCACGCAUGCUACAAUGGCUGGUACAAAGGGCUGCAAUAUCGCCAAGAUGGAGCGAAUCCCAUAAAGCCAGUCUCAGUUCGGAUUGGGGUCUGCAACUCGACCCCAUGAAGUCGGAGUCGCUAGUAAUCGCAGAUCAGCAACGCUGCGGUGAAUACGUUCCCGGGCCUUGUACACACCGCCCGUCAAGUCAUGUAAAGUCGGUAACACCCGAAGCCGGUGGCCUAACCCUUGUGGGUAGGUACUGUCGAAGGUGGGACCCGUAAUUUAG